CCCUUAGAUGUUCUGGGCCGCACGCGUGCUACACUGAACGGUUCAAUGGGUAAGGUAGUGCGAAAGCAUGACCUAAUCUCGAAAUCCGUUCGUGCUGGGGAUAGAAGCUUGCAAUUAUCCUCCUUGAACGAGGAAUACCUUGUAAGCGUGAGUCAUCAUCUCACGCUGAAUACGUCCCUGCCCUUUGUACACACCGCCCGUCGCUCCUACCGAUUGAGUGUUCCGGUGAGGCUUUGGGAGAAUGGCCUCAACAUGAGUUUAUCGUGUUUUGCCGUUUGAACUUAGUCAAACCUUAUCACUUAGAGGAAGGAGAAGUCGUAACA
rnacentral:rRNA from 1 species